GCGUUUCCCCGCAGGCCGGCUGAGGCCGGUGAACAAUAGAAGGCAGCAUCCACGUGACCCUGCGUUCCCGGAUGUUAGUUCCCUAAGUUGUUUUCCAACUGUCCCUAUGGGGCCACUGAAUACCUAGUGUGUCACGUGAUUGGGGAGGUUUCUUCCCUGUAUUGCUGCCGGAUUAUGCAACAACCCUAGUGCGUGCAAUGUCGGAAUGGCGCACGUCUGUGAUCGAGCUGCUAUCGGCGAUGACGAUCGUCGCUGCGAAUUCUGCAGCAAACUAUUCAUACAGAGGAAGAACAUGCUGCAACACAUCAGGAACGUUCACAAAAUGGCCGUGGAUGUCAAGAAAUUGAUGAAAUGCGACGUAUGUGGCACUUCCCUGCCUACAAUGGAGAAGUAUUCGGUGCACCAGAUCGCUGCGCACAACUUCGAGGCUGAUUACGUGCACCCGGUGUUCCGGAACAAUAAGGAAUUUCAUGAAUGGAAAGCAAAAGAAUAGGGUAGCCAAAACUGCUGGUUCAUUUUGCCCAGGGACCCCAAAAAGCUGGCCAGUGGAGAAACAAGGAUCCACUAUUACUGUAAUAGAUCAGGCGAGGCAAGGAAAAAGGAAGGUCAUAGUGACCGUCGGGAGAAAAGUCAGGGGAGCUGUAGGUCUGGUAAGAUAUGUCUUUCAUUUAUUACCGUCACAAUUACCGUCCGACACCUGAAGGCACCACCAUAAAAGUCAGGUAUCAAAGAAACCAUUACGGUCAUAAACCAGAAAUUCAGCACUUGAGAAUGAGUGACAAGGAAAAGGCCAGCGUAGCAGAGAACCUAGAAAGGGGUAUGCCCAUGAAAACCAUUCUAAAGCGAGUAAGAACAUCUGUGGCAUCCAAGCUGAGGCCCGUGCACUUGGCAGAGUGCUCAACCCUGCAUAACAUGAAACAGCAGUUUAACAUUGCUGCUCCUGAACAUUGUCACACUAAUGACGCUAUCAGUGUAGACAUGUGGGUGCUUGUGAUGAAAGAAAAAGGUGAAACACUUGUCCGCCUGUACAAGGCACAAGGUGCAGUGGACCCAAGUGGUACAUUUCCUUCAGCAGAC